rnacentral:lncRNA from 1 species
AAAAGGUCACACACUUUAUUAAUAAUUUAAUAAGAUCCCCAAAUUGUUAAAUUUUAUUCAUACUAGUCUCAAAGAAUAUGUUUAGGACAAAAUUGAUAGUGAUUUGAUAAAUAUAAUGAUUAAAUUGAUGGUAACUUGUUAAAAUGUAUGGGACGUAUUUAAUGUAAAUGAUUAAAUAUAGCGACUAACUUGUUUUUUAAAAUAGUCGGAAAUAUUUUUG